rnacentral:rRNA from 1 species
UACGUAGGGGGCGAGCGUUGUCCGGAUUUACUGGGCGUAAAGGGCUCGUAGGCGGCCAACUAAGUCAGACGUGAAAUCCCUCGGCUUAACCGGGGAACUGCGUCUGAUACUGGAUGGCUUGAGUUUGGGAGAGGGAUGCGGAAUUCCAGGUGUAGCGGUGAAAUGCGUAGAUAUCUGGAGGAACACCGGUGGCGAAGGCGGCAUCCUGGACCAACACUGACGCUGAGGAGCGAAGGCGUGGGGAGCGAACAGG